rnacentral:rRNA from 1 species
CUUGGCGGACAUAGCGAGUUGGACCCACUCCUUUCCAUUCCGAACAGGGUAGUGAAACGAUUCUGCGCCGAUGAUAGUGUGGUUUUUUCCACGUGAACGUAGGACACUGCCAAGC